AGACCCGAAACCCGGUGAUCUAGCCAUGGGCAGGUUGAAGGUUGGGUAACACUAACUGGAGGACCGAACCGACUAAUGUUGAAAAAUUAGCGGAUGACUUGUGGCUGGGGGUGAAAGGCCAAUCAAACCGGGAGAUAGCUGGUUCUCCCCGAAAGCUAUUUAGGUAGCGCCUCGUGAAUUCAUCUCCGGGGGUAGAGCACUGUUUCGGCAAGGGGGUCAUCCCGACUUACCAACCCGAUGCAAACUGCGAAUACCGGAGAAUGUUAUCACGGGAGACACACGGCGGGUGCUAACGUCCGUCGUGAAGAGGGAAACAACCCAGACCGCCAGCUAAGGUCCCAAAGUCAUGGUUAAGUGGGAAACGAUGUGGGAAGGCCCAGACAGCCAGGAUGUUGGCUUAGAAGCAGCCAUCAUUUAAAGAAAGCGUAAUAGCUCACUGGUCGAGUCGGCCUGCGCGGAAGAUGUAACGGGGCUAAACCAUGCACCGAAGCUGCGGCAGCGACACUGUGUGUUGUUGGGUAGGGGAGCGUUCUGUAAGCCUGUGAAGGUGUGCUGUGAGGCAUGCUGGAGGUAUCAGAAGUGCGAAUGCUGACAUAAGUAACGAUAAAGCGGGUGAAAAGCCCGCUCGCCGGAAGACCAAGGGUUCCUGUCCAACGUUAAUCGGGGCAGGGUGAGUCGACCCCUAAGGCGAGGCCGAAAGGCGUAGUCGAUGGGAAACAGGUUAAUAUUCCUGUACUUGGUGUUACUGCGAAGGGGGGACGGAGAAGGCUAUGUUGGCCGGGCGACGGUUGUCCCGGUU
rnacentral:rRNA from 1 species